rnacentral:rRNA from 1 species
UACGGAGGGGGCGAGCGUUAUUCGGAAUUAUUGGGCGUAAAGGGCGCGUAGGCGGCGCGAUAAGUCAAAGGUGAAAUCCCUCGGCUCAACUGAGGAACUGCCUUUGAGACUGUCGGGCUCGAGGCCGGGAGGGGGUAGCGGAAUUCCCAGUGUAGCGGUGAAAUGCGUAGAUAUUGGGAGGAACACCAGUGGCGAAGGCGGCUACCUGGACCGGUUCUGACGCUGAUGCGCGAAAGCGUGGGUAGCAAACAGG